GAUGAACGCUGGCGGCGUGCCUAAUACAUGCAAGUCGAGCGAACGGACGAGAAGCUUGCUUUUCUGAUGUUAGCGGCGGACGGGUGAGUAACACGUGGAUAACCUACCUAUAAGACUGGGAUAACUUCGGGAAACCGGAGCUAAUACCGGAUAAUAUUUUGAACCGCAUGGUUCAAAAGUGAAAGACGGUCUUGCUGUCACUUAUAGAUGGAUCCGCGCUGCAUUAGCUAGUUGGUAAGGUAACGGCUUACCAAGGCAACGAUGCAUAGCCGACCUGAGAGGGUGAUCGGCCACACUGGAACUGAGACACGGUCCAGACUCCUACGGGAGGCAGCAGUAGGGAAUCUUCCGCAAUGGCGAAAGCCUGACGGAGCAACGCCGCGUGAGUGAUGAAGGUCUUCGGAUCGUAAAACUCUGUUAUUAGGGAAGAACAUAUGUGUAAGUAACUGUGCACAUCUUGACGGUACCUAAUCAGAAAGCCACGGCUAACUACGUG
rnacentral:rRNA from 1 species